rnacentral:rRNA from 1 species
UACGUAGGGUGCGAGCGUUAAUCGGAAUUACUGGGCGUAAAGCGUGCGCAGGCGGUUCGUUGUGUCCGAUGUGAAAGCCCCGAGCUUAACUUGGGAAUGGCAUUGGAAACUGGCGAGCUGGAGUGUGGCAGAGGGGGGUGGAAUUCCACGUGUAGCAGUGAAAUGCGUAGAUAUGUGGAGGAACACCGAUGGCGAAGGCAGCCCCCUGGGUUAACACUGACGCUCAUGCACGAAAGCGUGGGGAGCAAACAGG